rnacentral:rRNA from 1 species
AACGAACGCUGGCGGCAGGCUUAACACAUGCAAGUCGAACGCCCCGCAAGGGGAGUGGCAGACGGGUGAGUAACGCGUGGGAACAUACCCUUUCAUGCGGAAUAGCUCUGGGAAACUGGAAUCAAUACCGCAUACGCCCUACGGGGCACAGGUUUAUCGGGGAAGGAUUGGACCGCGUUGGAUUAGCGAGUUGGUGGGGUAAAGGCCUACCAAGGCGACGAGCCAUAGCUGGUCUGAGAGGAUGAUCAGCCACAUUGGGACUGAGACACGGCCCAAACUACUACGGGAGGCAGCAGUGGGGAAUAUUGGACAAUGGGCGCAAGCCUGAUCCAGCCAUGCCGCGUGAGUGAUGAAGGCCUUAGGGUUGUAAAGCUCUUUCACCGAUGAAGAUAAUGACGGUAGUCGGAGAAGAAGCCCCGGCUAACUUCGUGCCAGCCGCCGCAGUAAUAC